CCUACGGGAGGCAGCAGUAGGGAAUUUUGCACAAUGGGCGAAAGCCUGACGCAGCAACGCCGCGUGAUCGAGACGCCCUUCGGGGUGUUAAGAUCUGUCAGUGGGGGCGAAACGUGACGGUACCCACAGAGGAAGCACCGGCUAACUCCGUGCCAGCAGCCGCGGUAAUACGGGGGGCGCAAGCGUUGUCCGGAAUCAUGGGGCGUAAAGAGUUCGGAGGCGGGUCGUAAAGUCUGGUGUGAAAGGCAGAGGCUUAACUGCUGUACGGCAUUGGAUACUUGCGAGCUAGAGUGCGGUAGAGGUGAAGGGAAUUCCUGGUGUAGCGGUGAAAUGCGUAGAUAUGAGGAGGAACAUCGGUGGCGUAAGCGCUUUACUGGGCCGUAAUUGACGCUGAGGAACGAAAGCGAGGGUAGCAAAUGGGAUUAGAUACCCGUGUAGUC
rnacentral:rRNA from 1 species